rnacentral:rRNA from 1 species
GACGAACGCUGGCGGCGUGCUUAACACAUGCAAGUCGAACGGAAAGGUCCUGCUCUUGUGGGGUGCUCGAGUGGCGAACGGGUGAGUAACACGCGAGUAAACUGCCCCUGUCUUUGGGAUAACUCCAGGAAACUGCGGCUAAUACCGGAUAGGAGCUCCUGCAGCAUGGUGGGGGAUGGAGAGUUACGGCGGUUGGGGAUGGACUAGAGGGUUAUCAGCUUGUUGGUGGGGUAGUGGCUUACCAAGGCUUUGAGGGGUAGCCGGCCUGAGAGGGUGAACGGCGACAUUGGGACUGAGAGACGGACCAGUCUGCUACGGUAGGCAGCAGUGGGAAAUAUUGCGCAGUGGGCGGAAGCCUGAGGCAGAAACGCCGCGUGCGUAAUGACGGCCUUCGGGUUGUAAACCGCUUUCGCCUGUGACGAAGCGUGAGUGACGGUAAUGGGUAAAGAAGCACCGGCUAACUACGUG